rnacentral:rRNA from 1 species
GUCCCUAUCCGCCGUGGGCGCAGGAUACUUGAGGAGAGUUUUCUCUAGUACGAGAGGACCGAGAAGAACGCACCGCUAGUGUUCCGGUUGUCACGCCAGUGGCAUCGCCGGGUAGCUAUGUGCGGACGGGAUAACCGCUGAAAGCAUAUAAGCGGGAAGCCCCCUCCAAGAUAAGGUAUCCCAGGCCGUAAGGCCUCUAAAGACCCCUCGUAGACUACGAGGUUGAUAGGCCGGAUGUGGAAGGUCAGUAAUGAUUGAAGCUAACCGGUACUAAUUGGUCGUGCGGCUUGACCAUAU